AGGGAGAAGCGCCGGGAACCCUGGUUAGAGUGCGUUUCGGGGCGCUUGGAAACGCCGGGGGGAGCUAGGGGGCAGCGGGGAUGGCGCAGCCUGGGACAGACAGCAGCUCCCGGCAGAAAGCCGCGGGUUGCUGCCAGGCCUCUUACACCAGGCGGGUCGGCGGUGGGCCCCGCAGCUUUCCAGCCAAUCCCACGUGAAGCGACAGUCAAGGCAGUGGGAGUUUUACGAAGAAACCGAACGUUUU
rfam:Myotis davidii contig18575, whole genome shotgun sequence.